rnacentral:ncRNA from 1 species
GUGAGCCGCAUACGGGGAGACCCGCUCGUACGGUUUUCAGGGGGAUCCGGCCGGCCGGCACCCACCCGACUAGAGGGACUGAGAAACUAAUCGAGUACAAAACUUAUCUUCAAGCUCUACCUUAU